GGUCCUCAUAGCUGCCACCUCCACGUGGUGAGGACCGGGCAACGUUGGUGCUUCUGGAGCCACCAACGGCUAAGGCAGCGUGG
rnacentral:ribozyme from 1 species